AGGUGAGAAAGGCCCACCUGUGUCCUGGUUGAGGGUCUCCAGGGUUCUUUGGGGCCCGAGGUAGGUAAUAUCACGUAACGUUCUUCUCCUUUUGAGUGCCUUCAUUCACAUUGAGUUAAAGAAAAGGAAUUUCAGACCUGAACAAUCAGGUGGACAACUUCUUGUGACUUUGGGUAUUCUGAAAUUACUCAUCUUGACUCUACUGUGCCUGGAUGUAGCUGUGUGUUUUGCCAAUGGUGGCAGAGUCUACAUAGAACUAUGCUUCGUGGUGUUCUGGGGAAAACCUUUCGACUUGUUGGCUAUACUAUUCAAUAUGGCUGUAUAGCUCAUUGUGCUUUUGAAUACGUUGGUGGUGUUGUCAUGAGGUGACAUUGUGAUUGCAAAAAGCCCAAGUGAUCCAAAAUCAAAUAUUUGUAAAAGAGUAAUUGGUUUGGAAG
rnacentral:ncRNA from 2 species